AUUUAACCUCAAAUCAGGUAAGAAUACCCGCUGAACUUAAGCAUAUCAAUAAGCGGAGGAAAAGAAAAUAACAAUGAUUCCCUUAGUAACUGCGAGUGAAGAGGGACAAGCUCAAAUUUUAAAUCUGUUAGGUUCAUCUAACCGAGUUGUAAUUUGAAGAGGCGUUUUCUGCGUUUUUGAUCAGUCCAAGUCCUUUGGAAUAAGGCAUCAUGGAGGGUGAGAAUCCCGUUCGGUUGAUCAAAUUUGCUUUAUGAUACGUCAUCUAAGAGUCAAGUUGUUUGGGAUUGCAGCUUAAAAUGGGAGGUAAAUUUCUCCUAAGGCUAAAUAACGGCGAGAGACCGAUAGCGAACAAGUACCGUGAGGGAAAGAUGAAAAGAACUUUGAAAAGAGAGUCAAAUAGUACGUGAAAUUGUUGAAAGGGAAACGAUUGAAGUCAGUCGUACCUGCGGGAUAAUCAGCCUUUCGAGUAUGAUUCUGUGGAGUGUAAGGAGUUUAACCGUCUUCAUACCUGCAUAUUCGUGCGCUUUGGGUGUACUUGUCCGUAUGGUAGGUUAACAUCAAUUUUGGUCGUUAUAAAAUGACUAGGGGAAUGUAGCUUUGAUCCCGUAUUGAAGUGUUAUAGUCUCUGGUAAAUGCAGUGACUAGGAUUGAGGAUUGCAACGGAUACCUUUCGGGGCUACUCGUCUGAUCUCUGGAAGUUACUUUGGUGCUAAAAGCUUGCUUAUGGUUAUCGAAGUUGACGGUCAAUAGGUUAGAACGAGUUAAAUUCGUUAAGGAUGUUGACGUAAUGGCUUUAAACGACCCGUCUUGAAACACGGACCAAGGAGUCUAACAUAUAUGCGAGUGUUA
rnacentral:rRNA from 1 species